UAAAGUUCUGCUUGUUUUCUCUCCAGGGUCUCAAGGAAGCAAACGAUGCCUUAUUUGCCACUUUGCUCUCUUUCCAGUCAAAGCCAUGAUCCUGACCCUGGGGUGAAGAGAAAAUUGCUUUGUGUGAAGGCUUUGCGGGUCUUACGAAAAUGAAGCUGGCAUGAUUCU
rnacentral:lncRNA from 11 species